ACUGCUUUUCUUUGAAGUCCCCAAAUUUGGAGAGCCCGUCAAUCCCGCCUCGUUAGGUUCAAGAUUGCCGGGUUUUUUCUU
rfam:Rahnella aquatilis CIP 78.65 = ATCC 33071, complete genome.